rnacentral:rRNA from 1 species
GAGGUCUAACCUGCCCUAUGAUGGAAUUAAAUGGCCGCGGUAUUUUAACUGUGCUAAGGUAGCAUAAUCAUUUGUCUUUUAAUUGAAGGCUAGAAUGAAUGGUUGGAUGAGGUAUAAUCUUUCUUUAAUUUAAUUAUUGAACUUAAUUUUUUAGUUAAAAAGCUAAAAUAUUUUUGAGGGACGAGAAGACCCUAUAGAUCUUUAUAUAUUUGUUUAUUUUGUAUUAUGGUGAAUAAUAUGCCUUAAUAAUAUAAUUUAUUUGGUUGGGGCGACUGUAGAAUUUAUAUUAACUUCUAUUUGUUAUAAUCAAUAAUUAUUGUUUUGUUGAUCCAUUUUUAAUGAUUACAAGAUUAAGUUACCUUAGGGAUAACAGCGUAAUUUCUUUGGAGAGUCCUUAUCGAUAAAGGAGUUUGCGACCUCGAUGUUGGAUUAAAAUUAGUUGUGGGUGUAAAAGUUCACAGGACUAGGUCUGUUCGACCUUUAAAAUUUU